AUACGGAGGGUGCAAGCGUUAAUCGGAAUUACUGGGCGUAAAGCGUGCGCAGGCGGCUGGCUAAGUCAAAUGUGAAAGCCCCGGGCUCAACCUGGGAAUGGCAUUCGAUACUGGUCAGCUAGAGUCUGGUAGAGGUAAGCGGAAUUCCGGGUGUAGCGGUGAAAUGCGUAGAUAUCCGGAGGAACAUCAGUGGCGAAGGCGGCUUACUGGACCAAGACUGACGCUCAGGCACGAAAGCGUGGGUAGCAAACAGGAUUAGAUACCCUGGUAGUCCACGCCCUAAACGAUGUCAACUAGCCGUUGGGUCCCCUUAAUAGGACUUAGUGGCGAAGCUAACGCGUUAAGUUGACCGCCUGGGGAGUACGGCCGCAAGGUUGAA
rnacentral:rRNA from 1 species